AUGAGAGAGAAUAUCAACAAAGAAAAUAAAAUUCAGUGUUCGAUAGACAUGAUGUUAAAGAACACGUUAUACAUAUCUCAUGGAUCACCCACUUUGUCCAUAGAUGAAUACAUAGAUGCUAGGAAAUUCCUUCAGUCAUGGAAGAAAGACGUGUUUCCUCAAAACCCAUUUCAAUACUUGUCAUCUCUGCUCACUGUGACACUGCAGUUCCAUCCAUCAACGUUGUUGACUCCGUCAACCACACCAUCUAUGAUUUCUAUAACUUCCCCGAACAAAUGUACCAGCAUAAAUAUCCUGCACCUGGAGCUCCACAAUUGGCAAGAAGGGUGAAGGAACUGCUCAUAAAAUCUGGUUUCAGCCGUGUUGAUGAAGAUACAAAGCCAGGACUUGACCAUGGUGCUAGGGUUCCUCUCUUUUUGAUGUAUCCAGAAGCUGACAUCCCUGUUUGUCAGCUAUCUGUUCAAUCUCAGCAAGAUGGAACUUACCAUUAUAACUUUGGAAAGGCAUUGGCACCUCUUAAAGAUGAAAGUGUUUUGAUUAUUGGUUCUGGAAGUGCUAUCCUGCACCUGGAGCUCCCUGGGCUUUAGAAUUUUAUAAUUGGUUGAAAGAUGCUCUUCUUGAAGGAAGAUAUGAAGAUGUAAAUCAUUAUGAACACAAAGGCUCAUCCCUGGCCGGAUCACUUUUAUCCUCUGCAUGUUGCAAUUGGUGCUGCUGGUGAAAAUGCAAAGGUCAAACUUAUACACAGCAGCAUUGAUCUGGGAACUCUCUCUUAUGCAUCUUACCAGUUUACAUCAGCUGCCAGCUGAACCACUAAACAGUUAUUCAAUUGAAGCUGUGUUGCUUUCAUGUUUAGACUUCUGAGAUGUAUUGUGAAUAAUUGAUUUAUAAUAAAUUAAUUGCUGUUGAUAAAAGAAAUUUAUUUUGAUGA